UAGGGAAUCUUCCACAAUGGGCGAAAGCCUGAUGGAGCAACGCCGCGUGUGUGAUGAAGGGUUUCGGCUCGUAAAACUCUGUUGUAAGAGAAGAAUGACAUUGAGAGUAACUGUUCAAUGUGUGACGGUAUCUUACCAGAAAGGAACGGCUAAAUACGUGCCAG
rnacentral:rRNA from 1 species